AAACAGUUCAACCCCCCCCCCCCCAACAGGACUCACUGUGGUUCUCAGUUGAUGGCACCCCAAAAAGCUCCUCCUUUUCUCCCAGUGAGCACAGAGACUCUCCGAGGAAAGCACAGCAGGACCGGGCUGGAGACAAAAAAACAGCUCGCAGGCAAGUUGAAGCCAGCAGUCAGGGCUGAACAAGACGGGAAGCCAGACAAACAGGCUUCUGGGCCUUCUCUCCAAAUGCCUGCACGCAGACCCCCGCCUCUGUCCGAGAGAGCGAGCUCCGCGGGAUGCCCCUCUCCCCUCAGAACAGAGCCAGCCCCCCCUCCUCUCUCCCCAGCCUCUCUGAUGGUCCAUCAGCGAGGAAUGCAGUCUGCCACAGGUCUAAGAAGCUACAUCUCAGCUCCUACAGGGAGGACUUACAUUCAACGCCUUCAUGAAAGUUCCACUGCAUUCUAAAGCAAGAGAAAUGUUGUUAUUUUCAGUCCUACUCUUUCUCACUGUGAAAAGUCGGAUUUGUUGACAUGCAAAAAGGCAAACAUGAAUAAUAUACACUUGUUGAUUAUUCCUUUGUUCACUUUUACUUUUGUUGGAAAUACUCCUAUAGUACUACAUUUUUAGUCUCAAAAAUGUUUGUUGCCAAAUCUGAUAUGGACCUCAUCUUUGUCCAGACAAUGACAUGAAUAUUCCUCCUCUUCAGUCCAACGUAAUAUGGUAUACUUUCAUUUCCAAACACUUAAAUGACCUUUCACUUCUGUCUUGAAAAUCUUUUUAAAGUGAAGCUAUAGCUUUUUCUGGAACAUUAGCUUUCCAUCUAAACCCUAGUCUAAGACCAGCUGUGGCCUUUUCAUGAGUUUUCUCCUUUUCCAUGCAGUCUUUUUGGUCUCCAGCAGUGAAAAAAAAGCUGUUUGAAAAUGCUGUAGGUUUCUUAGAUUGGUCUCAUACGCAGGCCUUCAAUGGUUAAGUAAAGGUAGUUCUUCAGUGUGCUGACUUCAUCCCUUCAGGGUUUUUCCAGCUGCUCAGGUGCUUGGUACACUCUGUCUUUCCUUUUUCUGAUGCGGAUGGAGCCUAUGUUAUUGAAAAACUCCAUUGAUGAUUUACUAAUUAGCCAUUAUUACCAGAAUUGGUCUGACCUUAUCUACUUUCAGUACUGCUCUUACUGGCUCUGCUCCUCCAGAGCAUUCUCACCUAUUUCCAUGCAGAAUGCACACAGAGGAGCUUGUUUGGAUUAUGAGUCAGAAGAUAAGCCCAUCUCCCAGCCUCCAGCAACAGCUCCUGAGGCUUAACUGUAAUUUCCAAUAUUCUUUACAAUAAUUGUUAUUUUCUUCACAAGGUAGUUUGAGGGAUCAGUAUGUAAAAGCAGUAGAGAUAUUACUAAAAUUUGCCUGGCGUUUGCAGUCUAGGCUAUAGACUAUAUGAAAUAUUUUACAGGCACAGGAAUGUCCUGAAUAUCAUUGUGCUUUUUCCUCAUGUUGAGCAUAGGGUGAAUGUCAAGAGUCUCCAGCACAAACUAAACAGUGUUAGGAGGCUAAGUAAGGUUUCUUCCAUCAUGUACCUCUUUCUCUGACAAGGAUGAUGGAGGUUGGUGGGAAGCUGUUCUACCUUCUACUUCACGAGCAGCCAUGCCGACAGUGUCAUGACACAAAAUAAUGAAAAUAACAUUAACUUAAACCAAGCACUAACCAACACAGGAAACCUCUCUGUUGUAGUGGGUAGCUGUACACUGCAGUCUCCCACAAGCAUGCUUAUAUGCUCACCAGCCUCUGGUGCUGUGUAGGAAGCUUGCCCAAGGGAGUUGGUUCACUAGAAACCAGUAAGGUUACACCAGAUUACAGCUGCGUUUGUCUGAAAGGCUAGGGCUGCUGUCAGAAGCCAAGAAGUUCAGACUGAUGCCUCAGAGUUUUUGAUUUUUUUUUUAAUUUUUUUAAUUUUUAUAGAUUUUAGAAGUAGAUAUGUAGUGGACGUAGAUUUUAAUGUAUCGGUAUUUCCAGUGGAAGUAACUACAGCAGCACAUAACUCAGGUAUCCACACUGAGGUUUCUACCAGCAUGAUUAACAUGCAUUCUUUUACUGUCUCACUGUAUUAUGUCUCUUACCAGUAUUUUUCAGUAAAAGUAGCAGCAGUAGCUUAAUGGUUGCACAUACCAAACCCUGUCCCAUAUCAAUCCCUCAAAAUUCCGUUAGCUGUUUAGUCUUCUUUUCAAGGUGGAAUUGCAGAAAACACCUUAACAUCUGCACCAGGAGAUGUAAACAUGGGCAAAAGUGACCUUCAAGCCUGGAACUUUGGAGGACCUCUAAGGACUGACUGUGCUCCGAGGAGGAUGAAGAUGAUGAAAGAGGGGUCCCAAACUCCCCCAGACUCAAUUCCUGAGGGGGUGUGCCGGGGACCAGAACGGGACAGAACCGGGGGCUGGUCAAAGGGGGUUGGAUGGACAACAUUAUGAAAUUGUACAACCUGUGCCCGAACAUGCACGCGGUGGUUUGUAUUCCUGUGGGCCAAGCACUCAUUAAAGCUUCUGCUCUUCUUAUCAUAUCUCUAUAA